UCUAGUGGCAUGAGUUGUUUGAACCUUGAGCGCCAAAGAGAUAUUGGGUCAUUGUAUUCGCAGGGCAUUAUGUGCCUCGCCAUUGUUGAGCAUUGUAUGACAUGAGGAUGUUAUCACCACCGUUAGGUGGUAGCUCCACGAGAUAGGUGGACAGGAUCAUGCUCAUAUAGUCUGUACUUUGCUUGUGGAGGUCAUGACUCCCAAGCCGUGAGCUUCGAAGUGUCACAUGAAAGCGAGAAAGGGUCACAACGGUGCCUCCCCGGCAGACGGCCACGGCGGUGGUUCUGGAGUAAAAGAUCUCUUGCCCGAGUGACUUGGUGAAGUGAGUUGUGGCUCGACCUAUGGGCGAUCGGUGCAAUUGGGUCCAAGUAAAGAGACAGGUCAUUGUUCAGUAUUUUGCAUUCCAUAUAUGCGCAUAUGGUCUAUCAUGCUACCUUUGUGAGCAGCCCGAGGUGGGUGACGAAGAAGUGGAGCUAGUCCCCACAUGGCUGAGAGGGGUGAGUUGGGUUUGGUCUUGUGAAAGCCUCUAACUGGGUCGAGAAUGAAUUGGGUCGAGAGUAAGUAAAGAGCACUGUAGACAUAUUUGACCAUGAAAUUCAUUCCCUAUUGUUGUAAAGCCAUAGUAGUGGUUACUUUCAUUCCUAUAUACGCUCAGUGUAGUUGUAUUAUUACUUAUCUAUUCUUAUAUCUACUUAUGCCUGAUUAGACCUAGUGAGAAAGUCGGUGAGGUCGGUAGUCGAACUCACUGAUAACUUCUUUUAGUUCUCACCCUUUUGUUUUGCAGAGCCAUUAUUUUUGCAGAGCCAACCAUGAGUGGAGCAACACCGGACCACAGCAUGGGCGCCGCGCCAUAGAUAGCAAGGUUACCCUGUGUAGUUUACCCUUGUGUACGAUAAGAAAAGUUUUUAGAAGCUAUCGUGGAAGGAUAAAAUAAUGUAAUAGAGAGCAAAUUAUGUGUUUGAUAGUUAAAGGCUUUGUAUAUUGUAUCAAAAUAGAAGAUGGCAAAUGUAUGUAUCUUAUGGAUAAUUAAAUGUUGUAAUAGUUAGAUUUUAA